rnacentral:rRNA from 1 species
ACCAGACUCCUACGGGAGGCAGCAGUGGGGAAUAUUGCACAAUGGGGGAAACCCUGAUGCAGCGACGCCGCGUGAGUGAAGAAGUAUUUCGGUAUGUAAAGCUCUAUCAGCAGGGAAGAAAAUGACGGUACCUGACUAAGAAGCCCCGGCUAACUACGUGCCAGCAGCCGCGGUAAUACGUAGGGGGCAAGCGUUAUCCGGAUUUACUGGGUGUAAAGGGAGCGUAGACGGCAGAGCAAGUCUGAAGUGAAAGCCCGCGGCCCAACUGCGGGACUGCUUUGGAAACUGCCCGGCUAGAGUGCUGGAGAGGUAAGCGGAAUUCCUAGUGUAGCGGUGAAAUGCGUAGAUAUCUGGAGGAACAUCAGUGGCGAAGGCGACUAUCUGGCACAUAACUGACGCUGAGGAGCGAAAGCGUGGGUAGCAAACAGGAUUAGAUACCCCCGUAU